rnacentral:rRNA from 1 species
UACGAAGGGGGCUAGCGUUGUUCGGAAUUACUGGGCGUAAAGCGCGCGUAGGCGGUGAUCUUUGUCAGAGGUGAAAUCCCGAGGCUCAACUUCGGAAUUGCCUUUGAAACGGGAUUGCUUGAGUCCGAGAGAGGAUGGCGGAAUUCCUAGUGUAGAGGUGAAAUUCGUAGAUAUUGGGAAGAACACCAGUGGCGAAGGCGGCUCACUGGUCCGAUACUGACGCUGAGGUGCGAAAGCGUGGGGAGCAAACAGG